AAGACUAUAGACCUGCGGAGUACCUGCGGAGGGAUCAUUAACGUAUCUCUGGCGGGUGCGGGUGCGCCCUGCUCCGGACUCUGCGCCGUGCAGCGGGUCCCUGCCCCGUCCAACCCCCUCACAAACCCACCGUGAACCUUUGCGGCCGAGGGCGCCUGGCACCAGCCGGGCGUCCGAAGGCCGAAUCACUAAACACUAGUAUGUCGAACGAUCCAGUGGCCAUUGCGUCACCUAAACUUU
rnacentral:misc_RNA from 1 species